GAUGAACGCUGACAGAAUGCUUAACACAUGCAAGUCAACUGUGGCGGACGGGUGAGUAACGCGUAAAGAACUUGCCUCACAGAUAGGGACAACAUUUGGAAACGAAUGCUAAUACCUGAUACUGUGAGAGCGCUUUGCGUCCCAUUAGCUAGUUGGAGAGGUAACGGCUCACCAAGUCGAUGAUGGGUAGCCGGCCUGAGAGGGUGAUCGGCCACAAGGUGACUGAGAGACUGCCCUUACUGCUACGGGAGGCAGGAGUGGGGAAUAUUGGACAAUGUACCAAAGUCUGAACCAGCAAUUCAGUGUGCACGAUGAAGUUUUCGGAAUGUAAAGUGCUUUCAGUUGGGAAGCAGUACCAACAGAAGAAGUGACGGCUAAAUACGUGCCAGCAGCCGCGGUAAUUC
rnacentral:rRNA from 1 species